GAGGAGGAGGGGAAAGGGAGGAGGGAGAAGGAAGGAGGGAGGGGCUCCGGGCCCGACCUCCAACCCUUUUGUGAACCACCUCGUUGCUUCGGGGGCGACCCUGCCGUUCGCGGCGUGGGGCCCCCGGAGCCCAUCAAACCCUGCGUAACUAAGUCGUCGGAGUUUAAACAAAUAAAACAAAACUUUCAACAACGGAUCUCUUGGUUCGGGCAUCGAUGAAGAACGCAGC
rnacentral:misc_RNA from 1 species